rnacentral:rRNA from 1 species
AAUGAACGUUGGCGGCGUGGAUUAGGCAUGCAAGUCGAACGGGCCUGGUUUUCGGAUCAGGUCAGUGGCGUAAGGGUGAGUAAGGCGACGGCAACCAACCCCAUGGUUGGGCAUAGCCGCGGGAAACUGCGGGUAAUUCCCAGCGAUGUUCGUGCCGGGCAUCCGGUGCGAACCAAAGUUUCGGCGCCGUGGGACGGGCCGUCGUGGUAUUAGGUCGUUGGCGGGGUAAUGGCCCACCAAGCCUCUGAUGCCUACCGGGCGUGCGAGCGU